rnacentral:rRNA from 1 species
ACGGAAGGCAGCAGUGGGGAAUAUUGGGCAAUGGGCGAAAGCCUGACCCAGCAACGCCGCGUGAAGGAAGAAGGUCUUCGGAUUGUAAACUUCUUUUAUGAGGGACGAAGGAAUUGACGGUACCUCAUGAAUAAGCCACGGCUAACUACGUGCCAGCAGCCGCGGUAAUACGUAGGUGGCAAGCGUUAUCCGGAUUUACUGGGUGUAAAGGGCGCGUAGGCGGGGAAGCAAGUCAGAUGUGAAAUCCAUGGGCUCAACUCAUGAACUGCAUUUGAAACUGUUUUUCUUGAGUGUCGGAGAGGUAGAUGGAAUUCCUAGUGUAGCGGUGAAAUGCGUAGAUAUUAGGAGGAACAUCGGUGGCGAAGGCGGCUUACUGGGCCUUUACUGACGCUGAGGCACGAAAGCGUGGGGAGCAAACAGGAUUAGAUACCCUGGUA